rnacentral:rRNA from 1 species
UACGUAGGCAGCAAGCGUUGUUCGGAAUUACUGGGCGUAAAGAGUGUGUAGGCGGUGUUCUAAGUUUGUCGUGAAAUCUCCCGGCUUAACUGGGAGGGUGCGGCGAAAACUGGAAUGCUAGAGGAUGGGAGAGGUAAGCGGAAUUCCUGGUGUAGCGGUGAAAUGCGUAGAUAUCAGGAGGAACACCUGUGGUGUAGACAGCUUACUGGACCAUUUCUGACGCUGAGACACGAAAGCGUUGGGUAGCAAACAGG